UUCCGUAGUCCCCAGAGUAUUUAUCUUCAAAUAUCUAACAGAAAAAGAAAAUUCGAAACAAAAAGUGUGUCUAAAGAAGCUUGACCCCGUUUGAUAUUCUAAUUUUUGAUGUAAGGAUAUUUUGCUAUGUUACUUGAAGUUUAAACUCAAUAGACGGUAACUAUGGGAAUUUCAUUUGUUGUGGUUCUGGUCAGCCUAUUAAGUGCAUUUCUUCCAAGUGUUUAUAGUGAUGGUGCAACAAAUG